rnacentral:rRNA from 1 species
AUCUUGGUUCAGGAUGAACGCUAGCGACAGGCUUAACACAUGCAAGUCGAGGGGCAGCAUAAAAGUAGCAAUACUUGGUGGCGACCGGCGCACGGGUGAGUAACGCGUAUGCAACCUACCUAUCAGAGGGGAAUAACCCGGCGAAAGUCGGACUAAUACCGCAUAAAACAGGGGCACCGCAUGGUGAUAUUUGUUAAAGAAAUUCGCUGAUAGAUGGGCAUGCGUUCCAUUAGGUAGUUGGUGAGGUAACGGCUCACCAAGCCGACGAUGGAUAGGGGAACUGAGAGGUUGGUCCCCCACACUGGUACUGAGACACGGACCAGACUCCUACGGGAGGCAGCAGUGAGGAAUAUUGGUCAAUGGGCGGGAGCCUGAACCAGCCAAGUCGCGUGAAGGAAGAAGGAUCUAUGGUUCGUAAACUUCUUUUGCAGGGGAAUAAAGUGCAGGACGUGUCCUGUUUUGUAUGUACCCUGAGAAUAAGGAUCGGCUAACUCCGUGCCAGCCGCCGC